rnacentral:miRNA from 1 species
GAGGAGGAGUAGUUUUAGGUCAUU